CUCAAAUUGCAAAGGAAGAAAAGAAAGAUGCCAAGAAGUAAAUCUACAAGCUGCGGACUGAGAGGAUCGAUUCCUCUCCUACAUGUUUGUGUCGUGGGAAACUCUUCAGCUGCAUCACAAACUGUGUUUAGCUCAGCACCUUAUUUCUCCUCUGCAGGCAUCUUGCAUCAAAUCCUCCUCAGAGUUUAGAUUACUGACCUGACUGCGUGAUUAGUAGGGAACUGUCAUGCCUGUGAUUGAUUUUAUCACUGUGGAUUUCAUUCAUUUCAAAGAUCACAUAUAACGGUCAUGUUGUUUGGUAAAUAUGGACAACGAAAGCAACAAUAUGUACGGAACUAAAUGGUGACUUGCUGUCCUGUUUCUCACUUGUUUCAGCAAAUAGAGAGUAAAAAUGAAUCACUGUGUUUGAUUUGCGUGCAUAAAAACUGCUUAAAACCACAAGCACGGAGUGAUUUCAUUCAGUCGUGUAAAUGCUAGCGGCAUCAUGUUACGGGGGGGACGCUGCAAAGCUGGAGCUCAUCAUGAGAGCUGCACAUAGAAAAUCCAGAAAGCAUGCCGCUGAUACCCAGAAGUACAGUGGAAUGGACAAGACUUGUUGAGAGCUCAGCUUUGUUGUAACAAAGCCUCGCUAAAGCCCGAGGUGCGAGGCAUGUGGCUAAUGAGUGCAGCACAGAGGGCUGGAAUGGCUGAGAUGUCCUUUUACCACCGAGGACGAGCGUCAGUGAAGUGGAACACAUGGUGGCUUUCGUCUAGCGAAGGCCGCCGCAGCAUCACUCGACAGUUAUUCCUUUGAUGCCCUGAAUGUACAUGUUUCCUCUCAACACGCAGCUGCACAACAUCCAGAGAGCCUCGUUCGUGUCUCAGGGUCACCGGCUGCACACGUGACCAAUGUCUCACUGCUGUUUCCAGGUGUUUUGACAUGGGGCUUCAACAAAGGCCACAAAUUACAAGCGCAAAGGCAACACGGUUCAAAGCUAAACAUGGCUGAUCAAAUAUCACGUCUGCUUUCUUUAUGCAAUCCCAGAUGUUAUUUUUCACUCGUCACCAAAGUUACAGCUCGCUACGCAAGAGGAGGGAGGCAGCAGCGGUGGAGAACAUGAGUGGGCUGGAGGUGGAAGCGGAAUAACGCCGCUGAAUGGCACAAAUGGC
ensembl:lncRNA